rnacentral:rRNA from 1 species
UACGUAGGGCGCAAGCGUUGUCCGGAAUUAUUGGGCGUAAAGAGCUCGUAGGUGGCUUGUCGCGUCUGCCGUGAAAGCCCAUGGCUUAACUGUGGGUCUGCGGUGGAUACGGGCAGGCUAGAGGCUGGUAGGGGCAAGCGGAAUUCCUGGUGUAGCGGUGAAAUGCGCAGAUAUCUGGAGGAACACCGGUGGCGAAGGCGGCAUCCUGGACCAACACUGACACUGAGGAGCGAAAGCCAGGGGAGCAAACGGG